CACAAAAGGACUUGACGUGAGUAUUUUACAUGUAUUAUCAUUGUAUUUUAUUAUGUACUAUAGAAAGGCUGCGGUGAGGCAAACCCUUCGGUUUUGACAUUUUUCAUCACAUGAAUCAACAUUUUCAAAUUAAUUUAAUAAUUUAAGGCACUUCAGUUCAGUAUUUUUAUGACUGCAAACAAAUACUGUAAUCUAUAAUUUGUAAAUUUGUUGCCCUCUCUGCCGAAGAUGGCUGAUGUUCUCCAGUUUUGAAGUUUGAAAACAUAUAUGUCUAUACUUUUGCACUCUGGUGUUGCUGUGCAAGUGUGGCGACAAGCCGCCUUUCGCCGGCACCCCUCUUUGGUGGCUGAUUAACAAAUUGGCCGCCUGAUAUUGGGGACUUGUAUAUAGGCAUAUAUGUGCAUGACAUUAAAAAAAUGAAAGCUUUUUGGAAAUUAUUAAUUAACCUGGCAAUUUGAAAGAAUUAUAUAUUCUCCAGUUUUGAACAACAUAUAUGUCUAUACUUUUGCACUCUGGUGUUGCUGUGCAAGUGUGGCGACAAGCCGCCUUUCGCCGGCACCCUCUUUGGUGGCUGAUUAAAAUUGGCCGCCUGAUAUUGGGGACUUGUAUAUAGGCAUAUAUGUGCAUGACAUUAAAAAAAUGAAAGCUUUUUGGAAAUUAUUAAUUAACCUGGCAAUUUGAAAGAAUUAUAUAUUCUCCAGUUUUGAACAACAUAUAUGUCUAUACUUUUGAACUCUGGUGUUGCUGUGCAAGUGUGGCGACAAGCCGCCUUUCGCCGGCACCCCUCUUUGGUGGCUGAUUAACAAAUUGGUCGCCUGAUAUUGGGGACUUGUAUAUAGGUAUAUAUGUGCAUGACAUUAAAAAAAUGAAAGCUUUUUGGAAAUUAUUAAUUAACCUGGCAAUUUGAAAGAAUUAUAUAUUCUCCAGUUUUGAACAACAUAUAUAUGUCUAUACUUUUGCACUCUGGUGUUGCUGUGCAAGUGUGGCGACAAGCCGCCUUUCGCCGGCACCCCUCUUUGGUGGCUGAUUAACAAAUUGGCUGCCUGAUAUUGGGGACUUGUAUAUAUAGGUAUAUAUGUGCAUGACAUUAAAAAAUGAAAGCUUUUUGGAAAUUAUGAAUUAACCUGGCAAUUUGAAAGAAUUAUAUAUUCUCCAGUUUUGAACAACAUAUAUGUCUAUACCUUUGCACUCUGGUGUUGCUGUGCAAGUGUGGCGACAAGCCGCCUUUCGCCGGCACCCCUCUUUGGUGGCUGAUUGAAAUUGGCCGCCUGAUAUUGGGGACUUGUAUAUAGGCAUAUAUGUGCAUGACAUUAAAAAAAUGAAAGCUUUUUGGAAAUUAUUAAUUAACCUGGCAAUUUGAAAGAAUUAUAUAUUCUGCAGUUUUGAACAACAUAUAUGUAUAUACUUUUGCACUCUGGUGUUGCUGUGCAAGUGUGGCGAGAAGCCGCCUUUCGCCGGCACCCCUCUUUGGUGGCUGAUUAACAAAUUGGCCGCCUGAUAUUGGGAACUUGUAUAUAGGUAUAUAUGUGCAUGACAUUAAAAAAAUGAAAGCUUUUUGGAAAUUAUUAAUUAACCUGGAAAUUUGAAAGAAUUAUAUAUUCUCCAGUUUUGAACAACAUAUAUGUCUAUACUUUUACACUCUGGUGUUGCUGUGCAAGUGUGGCGACAAGCAGCCUUUCGCCGUCACCACUCUUUGGUGGCUGAUUUGCAUGGUGGCUGAUUAAUUGGGGACUACAGUUAUUGACAUAUAUCGAUAUAUGAAUAAUAUAAAAAUAUUUAAGUGUUUAGAAAUUAUUAGGUAUAAAAACUCAUAUGAAACAUUAACCUAGAAAUUUGAAAGAAUAUUAUUCGGUCUAAAUCUCAGUGGCAGUGUGUAUUAAUUUUAUUUAUUAUUUUAUAUCAUACUACUGUAUAUUGUUUAUUGUAUAUUAUACUAUAUGUGGUUUUGGCAUUUCCUUACUCAAAUAAUAACCAUGUAUAAGUGUUAUGUUAGAGCACACCCAAACCGGGGGCUGAAUUAAGGGAUAUAAUAAAUGUAGUUCACUCUGCAACAUUAAUUUCUAAUUAUAUGUUCCUUCUAUUUAUCUAGGAAAGUUAAGAUGUAGACAGCUUCGUGUCAAGCAAAGACCCAAAAGAAUUGCCAUUUCUUGUAAUGGUUGUCUGGCGACCGUUGAAUGCAAUUUCUCAAAUCUUUAUUGUCGCUGACUUGCUGGUACUUUUUCGAGUUAAGGUUGUAAUUGUGGAACUGAUGGCAUGAACUCACAUUCUCUUUUCGAGAGGAGGUUAAUUAAUGAAAUUAGGAAUGACAUAUACUAAGUAAUAUGAACUGAAUAAAAUCUGAACUCAGUAGGAGAGGGCAAUUGCUCUUGUAUUGUAUAUGCAGUAGGUAUCGUUUAUAACUCAUUGCAGUAUUUGCAUCAGUUUGGUUCGAAUGUUGCAUCUUUACUCUGAACGGAGUGCGUACAACCAUGCAUGCAUGUAUUGUAGGUCAAAAUCACUUUGUUUGUUACCACUG